UGGGUACCAGGUUGACAUUUUCUUUGGGUUCUGGGAAAUAGAACCCCGAUUCCAAGAUGGACACUACUGAGUGCCCCCUGCAGGCCCCUGACAGAAUGGUGCCGUGUCAGAAUGAGCAUGUCCAGAGGAGUAUCCUGGACCUUCUCUGGGUCUCCGAGGAUCCUGUCUCACCAGCCUGGGACCAUCUUCUCACCUAGGGAAGCAGGGCGUGCCUCAUCUUGGGCAUCCCUGAGCGUCCCACCGGCCCUGCCUGUGAGUCUCAGAGGGAGCUGCCUGAAUGAUGGGUCCCUGCAAGGCAAAGGAAAGUCCGCUGUGCCCUGAACACCUUCCCUGCGGCCCUGCCAGCCGGCCUGAAGUGCCCACACCCCACACUCAGUAGAGACUUGAGGGCUCUCAAGAAAUCCUGCAGAAUCAAACACUCCUCGCAGCCCUCCUUCCUGACUCAGAAAGCCCCUCCACGGCGUGGUCCACUCCAGCUCACCCCGCCCCGUGGCAGGGAGCUCACUGCCUCCUGGGACAUCGCAUGGGAUGGGGAGCUCGAUUUUCCAGCAAAGCCGCCUGGUCCUCAUGACACCUGCUUCUCUUUCUCCUUCUCGGGGCAGAAAACCUUCUUGGGGACAGGGACUAGACCUUAAUCCCUCACUGUAGCAUGUCUGUGGUGAGCACAGUGACUGUCUGGUGGAGAAUAUUUACUCAGUGUCUGGAAGGAUGGAUGGAUGGGUGGAUGGUGGAUGUGUAGAUGGAUGGGUGAAUGCGUGAAUGGAUGGGUGGAAGGGUGAAUGGAUGGACAAAUGAGUGAAUGAACGAGCUAAUACCUCCGUGCCCCUCUGGACAUGCUGCAGUUCAGCCUUGACCUGCUCCAGCUUUCCUAAGGGCAAGUCAAGACCGGACUUUACGUUUCUUAAAUUAGCUACUAUCCUAGAUUGUUCAAAUCCUUGUGCAUCCUGCUUGCCACUGAGAGGGGAGGAUGGAAACUACUUUGAAUGUUUUGUAGAGAUAAUGCUGAUGAGGUGUGUAUACUUCAUUCACAGACCAAAAUUCUCACGAAGGCAGGCACCUCUUACUCCAGCCUGACACCCG
rnacentral:lncRNA from 1 species